UGCCUGAAUAACUACUGGAAACGGUAGCUAAUACCGCAUAACGUCGCAAGACCAAAGAGGGGGACCUUCGGGCCUCUUGCCAUCGGAUGUGCCCAGAUGGGAUUAGCUUGUUGGUGGGGUAACGGCUCACCAAGGCGACGAUCCCUAGCUGGUCUGAGAGGAUGACCAGCCACACUGGAACUGAGACACGGUCCAGACUCCUACGGGAGGCAGCAGUGGGGAAUAUUGCACAAUGGGCGCAAGCCUGAUGCAGCCAUGCCGCGUGUAUGAAGAAGGCCUUCGGGUUGUAAAGUACUUUCAGCGGGGAGGAAGGGAGUAAAGUUAAUACCUUUACUCAUUGACGUUACCCGCAGAAGAAGCACCGGCUAACUCCGUGCCAGCAGCCGCGGUAUACGGAGGGUGCAAGCGUUAAUCGGAAUUACUGGGCGUAAAGCGCACGCAGGCGGUUUGUUAAGUCAGAUGUGAAAUCCCCGGGCUCAACCUGGGAACUGCAUCUGAUACUGGCAAGCUUGAGUCUCGUAGAGGGGGGUAGAAUUCCAGGUGUAGCGGUGAGAUGCGUAGAGAUCUGGAGGAAUACCGGUGGCGAAGGCGGCCCCCUGGACGAAGACUGACGCUCAGGUGCGAAAGCGUGGGGAGCAAACAGGAUUAGAUACCCUGGUAGUCCACGCCGUAAACGAUGUCGACGUGGAG
rnacentral:rRNA from 1 species